GGGGAUUUAGCUUAGUGGCAUAAGCACCUGCCUUGCAAGUAUGCAGUCACGAGUUCAAUCCCCA
rfam:Cavia porcellus supercont2_12 genomic scaffold, whole genome shotgun sequence.